rnacentral:rRNA from 1 species
GUGGGGAAUUUUGGACAAUGGGCGCAAGCCUGAUCCAGCAAUGCCGCGUGCAGGAAGAAGGCCUUCGGGUUGUAAACUGCUUUUGUACGGAACGAAACGGUCCUGGCUAAUAUCCGGGGCUAAUGACGGUACCGUAAGAAUAAGCACCGGCUAACUACGUGCCAGCAGCCGCGGUAAUACGUAGGGUGCGAGCGUUAAUCGGAAUUACUGGGCGUAAAGCGUGCGCAGGCGGUGCUGUAAGACAGGCGUGAAAUCCCCGGGCUCAACCUGGGAAUUGCGCUUGUGACUGCAAGGCUGGAGUGCGGCAGAGGGGGAUGGAAUUCCGCGUGUAGCAGUGAAAUGCGUAGAUAUGCGGAGGAACACCGAUGGCGAAGGCAAUCCCCUGGGCCUGCACUGACGCUCAUGCACGAAAGCGUGGGGAGCAAACAGGAUUAGAUACCCUUGUAGUCC